AUUUGGAGAAGGUACUUCCUUAGCUUAGCUUAAGUUUUUCCCCUUCUAUCUAUAGUGGGCAUUUUCGCUUUCCAGACAAUUUAUUGACUCUGUAUAUGCUACCUUCAUUAGAAUUUAGAAGUACCUUGAAGUGGGUUUUAGCACUAACAAAUAAAUGAUUGCUGUGUCGGUGGUAAAGUAGGUAUUUGAUCUGUUCGAUUGAUUUCUUGUUGGAAAGAGUUUGUUUUACUGGAUUUUAGCUCACUAGGGAUCUUCUGGUUUAAGAAAGUGAGAAAGCACAAAUCUUUUUUUAGAAUGGUAUUUUACAACAAGAAAAAUGUGUUAAUGACUUCUGGUUUCAAGAAAGUGAAAAGGCACAAAACUACUUCUAACUGUAUCAGUAAUUGAUGACAUUAAAACUUCUUUUGCUGCCUGGAAGGAGGGAGCAAUUGCCUCACGUUGCUCCACCUUGAGUUAGAUGUUGGUAAAGCUUCCAAAAUAUUGCCUACUGAUCAAGAUUGAUGAAAUCAUUUCAUGCAACUGGCCUGAAACAGCAAGGAU
rnacentral:misc_RNA from 1 species